UACGAAGGGGGCUAGCGUUGUUCGGAAUUACUGGGCGUAAAGCGCGACGCAGGCGGCCAUUCAAGUCAGGGGUGAAAGCCCAGAGCUACAACUCUGGACUGCCCUUGAAACUGUAUGGCUUGAGUAUGAGAGAGGUGAGUGGAAUUCCCAGUGUAGAGGUGAAAUUCGUAGAUAUUGGGAAGAACACCAGUGGCGAAGGCGGACUCUCUGGACC
rnacentral:rRNA from 1 species